rnacentral:misc_RNA from 1 species
AACUUUCAGCAACGGAUCUCUUGGCUCUCGCAUCGAUGAAGAACGCAGCGAAAUGCGAUAAGUAAUGUGAAUUGCAGAAUUCAGUGAAUCAUCGCAUCUUUGAACGCACCUUGCGCCCCUUGGUUAUUCCUUGGGGCAUGCCUGUUUGAGUAUCAUGAACACCUCAACUCUCACGGUCUUCCGUGACGAGCUUGGACUUUGGGGGUUUGCUGGCCCUGCGGCCGGCUCCUCUCAAACAAAUCAGCUUGCCAGUGUUUGGCGGCAUCUCACGGAUGUGAUAACUAUCUACGCUCGCGGUUGUCUGCCAGGUAACCCUCAGCGAUGAAGGUUCAUUGGGGCUCAUAAACGUCUCUCCUCGGCGAGGACAGCUUUUGAACGUUCGAUCUCAAAUCAGGUAGGACUACCCGCUGAACUUAAGCAUAUCAAUAAGCGGAGGCU